rnacentral:rRNA from 1 species
ACUGCUCAGUAACACGUAAGAACCUACCCUUUAGUGGGGAAUAGCCCGUCGAAAGACGGGAUAAUACCGCAUAGUUCCUAUACCGCAAGGUAUAGGGUAAAGGACUUAACUGUCCGCUAAAGGAGGGGCUUGCGACCCAUCAGGUAGUUGGUAGGGUAAAAGCCUACCAAGCCAACGACGGGUAGGGGGCGUGAGAGCGUGACCCCCCAGAAUGGGACUGAGACACGGCCCAUACACCUACGGGUGGCAGCAACUGGGAAUCGUACGCAAUGGACGAAAGUCUGACGUCGCGACGCCGCGUGAGGGAUGAAGGCCCUAGGGUUGUAAACCUCUUUUGCCAUAGUCGAGAGGCUAUGGAGAAUAAGCACCCGCUAACCUCGUGCCAGCAGCUGCGGUAAUACGAGGGGUGCAAGCGUUAUCCGGAUUUAUUGGGCGUAAAGCGUUUCGUAGGCGUUUCGGUAAGUUACUUUUCAAAGACCAGGGCUCAACCUUGGAAAGGGGAGUAAUACUGCCGGGAUUUGAAGUAUGUCGGGGUUACUGGAACUUACGGUGUAGGAGUGAAAUCCGUUGAUAUCGUAAGGAACACCAAGGGCGUAGGCGGGUAACUAGACAUAUCUUGACGCUGAGGAACGACAGCUAGGGGAGCGAAAGGGAUUAGAGACCCCUGUAGUCCUAGCCGUAAACUAUGCUCGCUAGGGAUUGGUCCCGCCGAGGACAGAAUUAUUUCUGCCUUGGGCGGGAUCAGUUCCGUAAGCCAACGCGUUAAGCGAGCCGCCUGGGGAGUACGAACGCAAGUUUAAAACUCAAAGGAAUUGGCGGGGGAGCAC